UACAGAGGUCUCAAGCGUUGUUCGGAUUCAUUGGGCGUAAAGGGUGCGUAGGCGGCGCGGUAGGUCGGGUGUGAAAUCUUGGAGCUUAACUCCGAAACUGCAUUCGAUACUGCCGUGCUUGAGGACUGGAGAGGAGACUGGAAUUUACGGUGUAGCAGUGAAAUGCGUAGAUAUCGUAAGGAAGACCGGUGGCGAAGGCUAGUCUCUGGACAGUUACUGACACUGAGGCACGAAGGCCAGGGGAGCAAACGGG
rnacentral:rRNA from 1 species